CUGGAACAUGUGAAAUACAAUGAAGUUAUGUACGCCUCCGAAUUCGUCACAUUGUCAACGUUGACAUGUAGACGUUCCGCUAAACUGUUCAUCCAUCCUGGAAUUAAAGAAGAAAAAAAACAAACAAAAAUAAUAUGAGUUGAUGCAGUGGUCUUUAUAGAGUUAGAAAUGUUCAAGGACAGAUCUCGUCGCUUAUACUAUAACAGCAC